GCGAGGCCUCCUGCCCUCGAGCGCCUAUUGACGCACGCCCUAGAUCAGAUCCCGCCGACGACUGCCCCUCCUCAUCGUCCCCCCGCCGCCCCUCUCCUUCGAUAUGAUCUCCUUGGCGCCCCGCCGUCGCCGGCGACUCCUCGGCUCCUCGCAGUCGCCGUCACAUCAGACGCCGGCCACUCCUCUGCGGCCUCACGCUGUCGUCCUCUCCUUCGCAAGGAACACCCGACCCUUCCUCCGCGGCCUUGUGACGCCGACCACUCCUUCGUGGCCUCACGCCGCCCUCCUCUCCCUCCUUCCUUCGUCCAAGCCCAGGACUUCCCCUCCCUGACCCGAUCUGACGGAGAGAGGGCCAAGCCUUGCCACUCCGAUGGUCACUUUGGCCAAAUCCGGUUGGGGGAGCCACCGUAGAGCCUCAACGUCGGCGCAGCAGCAGCAGUCCUUGCGACGGUGGGUGCCGGAGAUCGUCAAGCAACUCGCCGUCGGCGGCCACGACCACCUCAUUCCCUGCCGUGCGUCUCCGUCAACUACUGUGGCAUUGACGACAGCGAGUUAGGAGCCUACGAGGUAGACGCCCUGCUGACUAUGUCGUCAAGGCCUCCACAUGGCUCCUCUUGUGGCAGACUGCUGGUUGUUUGCCAUGUCCUUGAUCACCCUAAUUUAAUCCAAGUCAGGGUAGUCUCGUGCAUUAAGCCAUCUGGCUCUGCUCUGCAAUUUCUCGAGAGAACAUUGUGGAGAACCUAACUCAUGGAUAUUUGGUUCAGUUUUUGGGAUGAAUUGAUGACAAGGAGAGCACGUUGGAAAUAGUGGAAGUGAAAACGGGAGAGGAUGAUGGGAACGAUCAAGUACAUCACAAUCAUCGGCUUCAUGUGGCACUCCUACACCAACGCAAUUCAGGUUUGAUAAUUGAUGAGGGUGGGUGCCAUGGUCGUCUAUGCUGGGCUUCUGCAUGAUCACAUCUUCCACAUGUUCGGUGCUAGAGUGGCUGAUCUUGUCGAAGGGUUACGUUUUCCUCUUCUCAUGGAUUUUGACCAUUGUUUUAGAGGGAUUCGGAUAAUGGUUCUGGUAGUUAGUACAUUCAUAUUCUUUGGCAUCCUCAAGCUGUUGGCUGGAUCUAUUGCAAUUGUUGUGAUUUAAAUUAUGAUGGCCUGCAGCAUGCCUCCCUAUAUUUAAGGCAAAUGAUAAUGGAAGUGCACCUUCAUGAACAAGCUAGCCGAGGUCUUGGAAUUCCAACCUAGGUAAACAAGUGAACUCAUUUAACGGUUUCCCCUUUUCUGGUGAUGCAGGUAUAGCUCAUUCAUUAAGGGCUACUCAGCUCUGUCUUUUUCUCUCUCUUUGGUGAUUGGAUUAUAUGCAACUCUGUGUUGAAGGAUCUGUUCAUGCUAAAUUUAACAAAUCUUGUCAUGUUUUCAUAAAUUAUCUAUUUGAUCACUCUACGUGGAAUGGUAAACAUUUGUAGCAUGAUCAGGGUUUGAUUAUUUUUAUCAGUGCACAUACCUUCAGAAAAUAAACCAAUGGGGCUAUCUUGUUCGUCUUUCUACUUAUGUAUGUAUACAUAUGGGAUGCUUUGUUAGUUCUGUUGUGCAAAUAAUCAUUCUUUGUGUUGAUGAGCUAUGAUAAUGGCUCCCCAAAUUACAAUACUUGCUAAAUGUACACUUUGUUGCGAUGAAAUCCUAUUUAUAAACAGUAUAUUUUCCUAAUGGAUUGUGAUUAAACUUUGUUGCUUUUACCCACUUUGGUGCUUCUUCAGUGUAUAUGUACUAAAUCGUAAAAUAAGAUGAUUGUAUAUUUUGCUUUAUAGUACACCGGUUCAUGAGAAGAAUGCUGAGAAGAUUCAGCUUGCUGUGCUAAAUGUCAUUCUGGCUUGACUCGAUAAUAUCGUGGUAACAUGGUGGAAUAUUUUAUUUUUUAUUGUAACAAACUGUAGUCAAAUUCAUCAGAUAUAUAUAUAUACUUCCAGGAUCGGAGGAACAAGUAGUUUUAGCCUUCUGUUUUCGAAUUCUUAGUUUAACAUCUCUAUACUUGUUGAAGCUGUAUCUUCAACUCUACAUGAGCAUAGUGAUAUGCAGUAUAAAACAUCUCCAUUUUUUCCUUCUUUGAUGAGCAUGGAAUAUCCAAAUUGACAUCUAGAGAUAGAUAAGUUGGUAGGGUAAUGUUCACUAGCUUUUUUUAGGAUCAAGAUUGAUGUGUUAAUUUUCUUAUCAAAGGAUGAUUAACGGAAUCGUGGUAUUGUGGCCAAAAUAUACUCUCUUCAGUUUGUUGGUAAUGAGCAAAAUGUAGUCCUACUGUUAAUGGGCUUUGGAUUUGUGCGUGAAAUACAUUGUUGCAUGCAUGUUUCCUAAGUGAAAAAUGUAAUGGUUCUGAAUAUAGCUGGAGAUGAAUUAUUUGCAGCAUCCAGGCAAUAACAGUGGCAUGGAUACAGUUAACAGUACUAGCAAUUGAUGAUAUUGUCAUAGCAAUUUUAAUUUGGAAAAAAUAUGUGAGAGAUUAGUCUUUUCUUUUCUUUCAUGCAAUGAAGAGAGUACAAAGUAUACUACAAUUUUUUGUAACCCACACAAUGAUUCAAGAAGCAGGGCCAAACAGGACCAAUGAAGACGCAUACAGUACUGUUCUUCAUGAUAUGAUGUUAUUUUUUCCCCACAAAUGAAUUUAAUAUUUAAUUCUUUGUGAGACAACUACUAAAAUGAAGUAGUUUAUGGGUUUGAAAAUUCCAUGUAUUGUGCAUAUUUUUAUGUGCGUACUUGACUCAGAUGCAAGCUGUUCGCAGUACGUGUAUUCUGAAAGAAAACAUGACGUAGCUGCUGAAUGCUCUCUGAAACAUAGCAUAUUUUUUAAAAUACUCUAUUUGCUUUGAAUGAGGUUGCCUUUUGCUUUAAACAAUUAACUGCAUUCUGAAAUACUUUUAAAUUUGGCUAAGAUUAAGAGAUCUAGCAAAUGAGUCCAAGUCUCAAAACCAGGUGCAUCUAGAGUAUUUCUCCUCCACGGCGGGUUGUCCAUCUCCAUAUAUAGUGGAGUGUUGCUCUUUCAAAAACAUCUGGUCUAUUUGAAUGGCACAUUACUGUUCCGAGUCUCCAAGAACCAGGUACAUCUCUCUUGCCUUAGCCUCUUCUGAUUAUCCUUCCUGUUAUUAUGUAGGAAGCAGAUUACCAACCUUCCAAGCUCUAUAUUCAGCCUUCCUUUCUCAUUGCUCAUACAAGUUCAAUAUAUGAACAUUCUUGUUACACUUAGUCCUUCCAGUUUCUUGAGAUAACCAUGUCUCAAUUUUUUGAACAGCUACAGUACCUGUACAGUAAGAAUCGAACUGCAAAGGAGCUGUACCAUCUGUUGUUUCAUGACUCCCUUAUGCCCUUGCGAGCAGCGGCCACCAUUGGGCAGGGACAGAGCCAUUGAGCACCCUUGCUCGGUGGUCCACCACCCUUCUCGCCUCCCGUUCGACGCCUCUUCUCCACACCCCUUCAUUCGAUGUGCUUCGACUCAUGAUGUACCAGAGUGGAGUCAGUAUAGAUAUCAGAGGUGCACAUGGGGUCCUCUUUAGGUUUUUUCCUUAAUUGUUAACCAUCUCCAAUUUUAUGUCAACUCUACUUAUUCCAGUUUCAUAGUUGGAGGUAUUAGAUAAUACAUCAAUUUAUAUCUAUCGCCCUAAAGAAAAUGUACAUUGCUGAUACAAAUAAUCUUUAUUUUGUUUACAAACAUGUAAUGAAAUCUACACUACGAAUAAGAAGACUGAAGUAUAGGACGCGCUCAGGGGUGUGCGGCAGCCCAUGGCGGGCAAGGCGUGCUGCAGUGGGGUUAUGGCAGCAUUAUGGUCAUGAGAGAGCUAGCAUGCUCUUUGGUAUAAAUUAGUUACCCUCCUGUGGGGUUAUUUUUUAUUCUAAGUAUUAACAUGCCUUCAAAAUAAUUCUGUAAUAGGUAUAUAAUUACAGGUUGUUGUGUGAGCUGCACCUAAAUUGAGAACUGAAACUGCAAUGAAUUACUUGAAACUUGGUGUCCUUAUAUUUGCCCCAUUUGUUGAGGUUCAGUUUGACUAAAAUGGACAGACCAUGAGCUCCUUUAGGAACUUGUUGGGAAAUGUCGCUUGUGUGGAGAGGCUGGAAAUACGAAGACAAGUAUGUGUUUGAUUAUUUUGAAGCUAUUUAACAUAUUAGUGGUGUCAACGAGGGUAAGUCCAGGUUCCACAUGUCAAGCUAUAUUAGUUUUUUCGCAAAGAAAUUUCUCUUUAUACAACAAGACAAUACUUAUUUGUGAUUUUGCAUGCCGUCGUGGAAUUCUAGCGAACAUGUCAAUUUGUUCGUGAUUUCGGACGUACAGUAUUUGGGUCCCAUGCACAAGGAGACGUUGAUAAGUUACUUCGGAUAUACAUAUAGACCGAACUAAAUAUGUAUUUAGAGAUUAUAAAAGUGUGUGUUGUUUUGCAAUAGUUUUAACCCACUCAACUGUAUUAUAAAUGUGCAAAAAAAAAAUCUGGCCCGGUGGCAAAGCAGAGUAUUUAGCUAGGUGAGCUAUAGACCAGGAGCUGGUGGGUGGUAGGGCAAGCACGCCGCUUCUCCUCUCUGUCUCCAGAGAGGCGCGUGCAUCGAAAAAUGAACAUAUCUGAGCCAUGUGCCUUGCUUCUACUGAUUUCUAUAGAGAUUGGCUCGCUUAGAUUUUAGACUAGGCGGUUGCUGUUGAGGUCGCCAAGGUGAUCCUACAGCACUGCCAUGGGGAUUGUUCAUGAUUCUAUCUGGACAAGCGGUGGUGGUGAUUGGUAAAAGCAAGCAAGAUCCGAUGGUGCUGCUGUGGGGAUAGCCAAAGUCAAGACUUCGACUACGAACUCGUCGCAACGAACCUGGACGCUACGAGCCUGAUUCAUGGUGGUGUUGCCUUGGGGAGAGACAAAGUGAAGGUAAAAGCAAGCAAGAUCCGAUGGUGCUGCUGUGGGGAUAGCCAAAGUCAAGACUUCGACUAUGAACUCGUCGCAACGAACCUGGACGCUACGAGCCUGAUUCAUGGACCAAUGGAGGGUCUUGACGCUGUUAGGGUUGGGAUAGGAUGAAUGUGGAGGGUGACGUGCUUGGUUGAGUGCCCCUCGAAGAUUGUGUCCUCCCCGUGGACCUGUUUGUGGCCAUCGUAGAGGAGAUUGUGGCCCUUCCCUGAUGAGCAAGAACAAUGUAGGCGGCAGCAGGAGGUAGGGGUGGAUGCGGGGAUGUAUGUUGAUGGUUUCUCGAGGUUGCGAUGUGGAAAGUCAAGAGCACGAAGUCGAAAUCGGAUAGGAGUUUAAGUUCUUGUUGGCCGUGGCUGGCUCCCACUUUAGUGAUGUAUUUUUUCAGUUUGUUGAAGUUCAGUUUUUUUAACCUAGAUUGCCAUUCGCAACAUGAUUUAGGUGACCCAGAAGUUCCCUUUCAUCAUCAUUUAUAGAGCGUUCAGAGUUCCGAGCUCUGUCGACGUCGCCAGCCUUGUGAAAUGCCAACUGGUCGUCGCUUCUUUCGGUGGUAAUUCUCGAUUCUUUGCACCCUUACAUGCAGAUUCAGAGAUGAGUGUCAAGGAUAUGUCGAAUGAUGAAUAUAUUCAGAUACUAAGAAAGGUUCUAAAAUGUGUUUUGGCAGGUUAGUCCUGAUCGUGCUUAUUUUUAAACCCGAAACGUUCUUUAUCAUUGGAGGGUUCUCUAUAAUCCCAUAAUUGUGAAGUCAAUUGCUUAAUUUGAUUGAGAGUACUUAAGUUAAUGCACAUGUUUAUUUUUCUAUAUCGUAUCUUAACUGCUUGGACUCUUCAUGUACACUAAAUGUGAAACUCAUUAUGAUUUGGAAGUGCCUGAUAGCUUGUGACAUAAUUGAUGUAGUUUAUCAAUCAUGCAAUUUGUUGUUAGCAACAUGUACCAGAUUUUGGUAAUUUCCAUUUGAAUAUUGUUUUUUGUUUUCAUAUAUCCUAGAUCAUACUAAGAUACUAAGAAAUUCCUUACUGCAUUAACAUUGGCAUCCAUGGUUACUUUUCUUUGUAUAUGAAAAAUGUAGAUAAAAUGUACAUCCUCUAGCUCUCAUGCGUUUUAGUCUCUCUUUUCUCUUUAUGUUGUAUCACCAAUGGUGCGCGCGAGAGAGAGAGGGAGGGAGGGAGCGAUGGAGAGGGAGAGGGAGAGGGGUCUAAAUGAUUGUAUCCGUACCAGUUUCAUGUUUCCAUGCAUGUCAUUAUACUCAUAGAAAACAGUAUCUUCAUGUGGCAAGUAUCUAAUGCAUAUACAUGAGUUUUAUUGUUUAGUGUUUUCACAUACUAAUAUAUUCAUGUUUUUUUUUUGCAUUAUAGAGUGCUAACACGCUACAUUGGAGAGAAAGCGUUGAGAGAAUGCUUUGUUUGGAUGAUAAACAUGAAUAAUCAAUCCUCAUUCCAAGGUUAGAUUUGUACUUCCUGCCCAGUUCUUUUACACAAAGGACCAAGCCUCUUACUUUAUCCAUUUCUUAAUUUUGUUCCUUCACAGAAAAGCAUUUUCUCAUUUCAAUCUUUCUCCAUUUGGUAUGAGUAUGACACACGCUCUGAAUUUUUGACUAUUCUUGGUUGAUUAAUGGUUGGUGUAUUGCCUUCCACUUUGGAUUAUUCUAAAUCUUCUUGCUUAGGCUAUGUGUACCCUUCUGUCAUGUGCCACCAUCGAUCUGAGCAAAAAUCAGUGUAGAUGAACCGAGCUAUUUUAUUAUAAGCUGUGUACAUAACUUCCUGGAAAGAUAACCAUGUAGUUAUUGUUUUAUGUCGUAUAUAUUCAGAUAGGUGAAUUAUCACAAGUUGGUCCCGGUAUGUUAAUAGGAUUGUGCCAACCUAGAGUCUUUUCAGAUCGUGCCAACUCUGUUUGGGGUUUCCUUCUACCUAAUCAAGGCUUAGUCCAGUUUGUCUUGUCCUUAUCUCCUUUUCUGUCAUAAAUUCUUCAUCUAUUCAAGAAGCUCAUUUUUGUUAGUUGGAACAACUGAAAAAAUCAUACUCCCCUUCCUAAAUAUAAGUCUAAUUGUUUUUUCAAAAGUCAAACGAGUGCAUGUUUGACCAAGUUUUUAGAAAAUAUAUCGAUAUCCACUAUACCAAAUUUAUAUCAUUCGAUCCGUCAUGAAAAGUAGUUUUAUAUUUUAUCUACUAGGUUUUUCAGAUGUUGAUAUUUUAUUCUAUAAUCUUGAUCAAACAUUCAAAUGGUUGACUUGGAGGAUAUCAAUACACCUUAUUUUCUGGAAUGGAGGGAGUAUCAUUCUUGUUGUGACGGACAAACAGAAAGAAAGGUCCGCAAAGAGUGCACUCACAAAAGCCAUGUACUGUAGACCAUGAAUGAUUACCUUGAAAGCUUUCUCAUCGAGGCCAUAGUUCCAAACUAUACCAUCAUUUAAGAAACAUUCAAUCAGAAUUGGAGGAAAUGCCAUCCAUUGGGGUUCUGAAGUUCUGAACUUUGAUCUCUCUAUUUGAAUCGUUGUUAUUAUUUUGUCUGUUGGCCAUGAGCAAAGAAUCUGGAGAGUGCCUAAUGUUCCUCAACUUUUCUUAUGUUCCAAAUUCACUAUUAGUGUUGAUCAUCUUCAAAGAACAGAAAACGUAUGACAGGAUUAAGGUUGUAAUUUGUGCUCUCUUUUUUCCAAAAUUCACUGCUUGAUUAAUUUUGUUGUAGAAGCUUGAGAGAAAAAGAUAGUAAAUACAUAGUAACUUUACAUUGAUUUAAGAGUAAUAGCAACACACCUGCUUUUAACUAUAUAUAAAUAGGACGUGGAUUUUUGGGACAUGCGGCUACGCGCUGCCGUUAUCACGGUCGUCCGGCGACGCGUUGUGAUUACUACUCUUAAUAGCACUUUCGCAAUACGCGCGCGCCUGGAGUCGCGCAUGGCACGAAUACGCGCGUUAUACGCCCCGGCCGCACAGUCACAUUAAAUGAAUCUGACGAGAAAAAACAAAAACGCCCGGUCCCACACGGGGGGAUGGAUUAACUCCCUCGUCCUUCGGUGGAUGCGCAUAGUUGAAUCAUCAUCGCCCCCGCAACAGCUGCCCCCAGCGCGUGCCUGAAUUUGCUCCCCGCGACGAACAGAGGAAGGAGCGGCGAUGGGUUCCUCGCAGACGGAGAUAAGGUUAGCAUGCCGGACCCCCGCGCCCUCCCCCUCAUCCAUGUUCUUGGUUCUCUGUUAAACUAGCGCGCACGCAUGUCUUUGGUCUCGACGACGCUCGUGGGGGCUGGUUGUGGAUCUGAGCCGUUGAGCGAUACCCUGCGCUUGGAUUUCCAGCCAGAUCCAGAUUUUCUUAGCAGACACACGGGGAUGCUUGAUUCUCUACGGGAGGUGACAUAGGACCACCCAGUCGGGGCGUUUGCAGAUUUGUUAGAUUUAGUUGAUGUUCGUCCACCGGAGGAGCAGAUUCAGAGGGAUGAAAACAAGUAUGUUGCCCUUGAUGACAAGGUGGGAUGGGUUAGGAGGAACAGAAGAGAUGGCAUGCCUGACGAGCGGACAACAAGCGCCGGAAGAGUGACCAUGUGUGCAUUUGUCUGCAUUUUGCCUCGUUCCCAUGCAUGCAAAUCAUAGAGAACGCGGGCUGAUGCUCACCGGCGACGGACAACAAAGGAGUCAACGGGCAAAGAGAUUUCUCCAACUUGGUGCUGGCGAUUUGAGAUUGACUGUGGUGUUGCUUCCACAGGUGGUGUGGCCGGUCAAUUUAUAAGCGGUCGUCUACUGCGUAGCCGGCCUCUAGAAGAGUCGUUGCGUUGAUGGAGCAUUAAAUGAUAGACGGGUGGCUUUAUGAUUUGCAGGGCAGAUGGAGGAAUUGAUUUCAUUGGCAGUGAGUUAACUUCGC